CAGCUCUGGAAGAAGAGCACAGCACCCUCCUGCUCCACGUGCACGUACCCUUUGUAUGCAGUAUCUCACGUUAAUAGCACUGCCUUUGGAGAUGCCUGCUUUCUUCGUAAAGCUCUCCUGGAAGAGAUGCAGAAACAGUUACAGGCUCCUGCCUUGACUGUGUGCAGACAGGCUGCUUCCUGUCCCAACCGGCAGCUCUUCCAAGCUGGUUCUGUUGCAAAGCAGUCACCAGGAUUGCCCCCUUCUUUGCUCUGCUCGCUUCUAAAGGAAUUUAUUUGUUCAUCGGUUUUGACUCAGUGGCAGAAAUUGAGCUGUAUCUCCUCUGCCCUGAAAUCAUCAAAGUAUAUGGCAGCUAAAGUUGACGGGAGCACGUUUAACAAAGCAUUGUUGAGGGGAAGAGUGCCAGGAACAUAUUGUAUGUUUCCAAACAGAGCUAAUGCUGCUCCUAACGCAGUAAAAGAAAAGAGGAUUGCUCCUCGAGUUUGGUGAUUGUGCAGACUAUUUAUGUUUGUUUGUACUGUGACAGAACUUUGAAUGCAUCAGACUUGAGAUGGCCCAGCUGGAAAAUUUGGCUCAGUGGGUGGAUCAGAGCAGGGAACUGUAGAAGCAUGGAAAAAAC
ensembl:lncRNA